GGCAGCAGUAGCUCAGUGGUUAAAAUGUUUGCCUACCAAUCAGAAGGACACGAUUUCAAAUCCCAGCACUGCCA